UUUCUUCUGUGAGCCUGACUGAGC
rnacentral:miRNA from 1 species